GACGAGGGAUCCUAGCGUUGUUCGGAGUCAUUGGGCGUAGAGCGGGUGUAGGCGGACUUAUAAGUCAGGUGUGAAAUCCCAGGGCUCAACCCUGGAAGUGCACUUGAUACUGCAAGUCUUGAGUGUGGUAGAGGCUAUUAGAAUUCCUGGUGUAGUGGUGAAAUACGUAGAUAUCAGGAGGAAUACCGGAGGCGAAGGCGGAUAGCUGGGCCAACACUGACGCUGAGACCCGGAAGCGUGGGGAUCAAACAGG
rnacentral:rRNA from 1 species